rnacentral:tRNA from 1 species
GAUAAAAAGUAGCUCAAUUGGUUAGAGCAUCCCGCUGUUAACGGGAAGGUUGAAGGUUCAAUUCCUUUCUUUAUCA